ACGGUCCUAAGGUAGCGAAAUUCCUUGUCGGGUAAGUUCCGACCCGCACGAAUGGCGUAACGACUUGUGAGCUGUCUCAACAGGAGGCCCGGUGAAAUUGAAGUAUGUGUGAAGAUGCACAUUACCCGCGACUGGACGGAAAGACCCCGUAGAGCUUUACUGUAACCUGACAUUGGAUCUUGAUAACGGAUGCACAGGAUAGGUGGGACGCUGGGAGGUAUGGACUUUGGUCUGUACGGAGCGGACGUUGGGAUACCACUCUUCUGUUAUUGAGAUUCUAACCUCAAGCCGUAAGCCGGAUGAGAGACAGUGUCAGGCGGACAGUUUGACUGGGGCGGUCGCCUCCGAAAGAGUAACGGAGGCGCCCAAAGGUACCCUCAGAAUGGAUGGAAACCAUUCGAAGAGAGCAAAGUCAGAAGGGUGCUUGACUGCGAGACCAACAAGUCGAGCAGGUACGAAAGUAGGGCUUAGUGAUCCGGCGGUAUGAGAGUGGAAUUGCCGUCGCUCAACGGAUAAAAGCUACCCUGGGGAUAACAGGCUGAUCUCCCCCAAGAGUCCACAUCGACGGGGAGGUUUGGCACCUCGAUGUCGGCUCAUCGCAUCCUGGGGCUGUAUUCGGUCCCAAGGGUUUGGCUGUUCGCCAAUUAAAGCGGCACGCGAGCUGGGUUCAGAACGUCGUGAGACAGUUCGGUCCCUAUCCAUCGUGGGCGCAGGAGAUUUGAGAAGAGCUGUCCUCAGUACGAGAGGACCGGGAUGGACGCACCAAGGGUGUAUCAGUUGUCACGCCAGUGGCACAGCUGGGUAGCCAAGUGCGGAUCGGAUAAACGCUGAAGGCAUCUAAGCGUGAAGCCGACUUCAAGAUAAGAUCUCCCAUCCGCAAGGAGUAAGGCCCCAUGUAGACCACAUGGUUGAUAGGUCGCAGGUGGAAGUGCAGUAAUGUACGCAGCUGAGCGAUACUAAUAGGCCGAGGGCUUGAUCAA
rnacentral:rRNA from 1 species